GAUGAAGAACGUAGCGAAAUGCGAUAAGUAAUGUGAAUUGCAGAAUUCAGUGAAUCAUCGAAUCUUUGAACGCACCUUGCGCUCCUUGGUAUUCCGAGGAGCAUGCCUGUUUGAGUGUCAUGAAAUUCUCAACCUUUUCAGCUUUCUUUGUUGAUCAGGCUUGGAUGUGGGAGUAUGCGGGCUUCUCAGAAGUCGGCUCUCCUGAAAUGCAUUAGCGGGACCUUUGUUGCCUGGCUUUGGUGUGAUAAUUAUCUACGCCAUUGUAGUCAAGCAGCUUAAAAUGAGGUUUCAGCUUCUAACCGUCUCCCCUGAGACAACUUUUCGACAAUUUGACCUCAAAUCAGGUAGGACUACCCGCUGAACUUAAGCAUAUCAAUAAGCGGAGGA
rnacentral:misc_RNA from 1 species